rnacentral:tRNA from 1 species
GCCUGGGUGGCUCAGUCGGUUGAGCGUCCGACUUCAGCUCAGGUCAGGAUCUCACGGUCUGUGAGUUCGAGCCCCACGUCGGGCU